GCAAAGGUGGCAAUCUACUAAACC
rnacentral:siRNA from 1 species